rnacentral:rRNA from 1 species
GCUGAUGAUCAAAUCUCCCAGAAUGCUCCUAGUCUCGUCAGAUCUCAGAAACUAAACGGGUUUGAGCCUGGAUAGUGCUUGGAUGGGCACCCAUCGUGCAUUACAAGUGAUAUAGGCU